GAGUUUGAUCAUGGCUCAGGAUUAACGCUGGCGGCAUGCCUAAUACAUGCAAGUCGAACGGAGUAGCAAUACUUAGUGGCGAACGGGUGAGUAACACGUAUCUAAUCUACCAUUUAGUGGGGAAUAACUGUUGGAAACGACAGCUAAUACCGCAUAAUAUUGCUGGAUAAUUUCCAGUAAUGAAAGGAGCUUUCAAGCUCCGCUGAUUGAUGAGGAUGCGGCGCAUUAGCUAGUUGGUAGGGUAAUGGCCUACCAAGGCAAUGAUGCGUAGCCGAUCUGAGAGGAUGAACGGCCACAUUGGGACUGAGACACGGCCCAAACUUCUACGGAAGGCAGCAGUAGGGAAUUUUUCACAAUGGGCGAAAGCCUGAUGGAGCAAUGCCGCGUGACUGAUGAAGGUCUUCGGAUUGUAAAGGUCUGUUGUAAGGGAAGAAAUGGUAAAACAGGAAAUGGUUUUAUCUAUGACGGUACCUUACCAGAAAGCCACGGCUAACUAUGUGCCAGCAGCCGCGGUAAUACAUAGGUGGCAAGCGUUAUCCGGAUUUAUUGGGCGUAAAGGGUGCGUAGACGGUUUUGCAAGUCUGAGGUUAAAUUUAGGAGCUCAACUCCUAAUCGCCUUGGAAACUACAAGACUAGAGUAUAGGAGAGGUUAGUGGAAUUCCAUGUGUAGCGGUGGAAUGUGUAGAUAUAUGGAGGAACACC
rnacentral:rRNA from 1 species